UAAGGAAUAUUGGUCAAUGGACGGAAGUCUGAACCAGCCAUGCCGCGUGGAGGAUGAAGGUCCUCUGGAUUGUAAACUUCUUUUAUAGGGGGCGAAAAAGGGUCUUUUUAGAUCAACUGACGGUACCCUAUGAAUAAGCACCGGCUAACUCCGUGCCAGCAGCCGCGGUAAUACGGAGGGUGCAAGCGUUAUCCGGAUUCACUGGGUUUAAAGGGAGCGUAGGCGGGCUGUUAAGUCCGUGGUGAAAGCCCUCAGCUCAACUGAGGAACUGCCAUGGAUACUAAUAGUCUUGAAUAUCGUUGAGGUUAGCGGAAUGGGUCAUGUAGCGGUGAAAUGCAUAGAUAUGACCCGGAACACCAAUUGCGAAGGCAGCUGGCUAAACGAUGAUUGACGCUGAGGC
rnacentral:rRNA from 1 species